rnacentral:rRNA from 1 species
CGAGCUUGCUCCCGGAUGUUAGCGGCGGACGGGUGAGUAACACGUGGGUAACCUGCCUGUAAGACUGGGAUAACUCCGGGAAACCGGAGCUAAUACCGGAUAGUUCCUUGAACCGCAUGGUUCAAGGAUGAAAGACGGUUUCGGCUGUCACUUACAGAUGGACCCGCGGCGCAUUAGCUAGUUGGUGGGGUAAUGGCUCACCAAGGCGACGAUGCGUAGCCGACCUGAGAGGGUGAUCGGCCACACUGGGACUGAGACACGGCCCAGACUCCUACGGGAGGCAGCAGUAGGGAAUCUUCCGCAAUGGACGAAAGUCUGACGGAGCAACGCCGCGUGAGUGAUGAAGGUUUUCGGAUCGUAAAGCUCUGUUGUUAGGGAAGAACAAGUGCGAGAGUAACUGCUCGCACCUUGACGGUACCUAACCAGAAAGCCACGGCUAACUACGUGCCAGCAGCCGCGG